rnacentral:tRNA from 1 species
GGUGGAUGUAGCCAAGUGGAACAAGGCAGU